rnacentral:rRNA from 1 species
UUCGUCCUACGGGGCGCAGCAGUAGGGAAUAUUGCUCAAUGGGGGAAACCCUGAAGCAGCAACGCCGCGUGGAGGAUGAAGGUUUUAGGAUUGUAAACUCCUUUUGUCGGGGAGCAAAAGACGCCACGUGUGGCGUUCCGAGAGUACCCGAAGAAAAAGCAUCGGCUAACUCCGUGUCAGCAGCCGCGGUAAUACGGAGGAUGCGAGCGUUAUCCGGAUUUAUUGGGUUUAAAGGGUGCGCAGGCGGAAGAUCAAGUCAGCGGUAAAAUUGAGAGGCUCAACCUCUUCGAGCCGUUGAAACUGGU